rnacentral:pre_miRNA from 1 species
CAAGUACUCCCUCCGUCCCGAAAUUCUUGUCUUAGAUUUGUCUAGAUAUGAAUGUAUCUAAUACUAAAACAUGACUUGAUACAUCCGUAUCUAGACAAAUCUAAGACAGGAAUUUUGGGACGGAGGGAGUAUCUG